CCUACGGGGGGCAGCAGUGGGGAAUAUUGGACAAUGGGGGCAACCCUGAUCCAGCCAUGCUGCGUGUGUGAAGAAGGCCCUCGGGUUGUAAAGCACUUUCAGUGAGGAAGAACGCCUGGUGGUUAAUACCCAUCAGGAAAGACAUCACUCACAGAAGAAGCACCGGCUAACUCCGUGCCAGCAGCCGCGGUAAUACGGAGGGUGCGAGCGUUAAUCGGAAUUACUGGGCGUAAAGCGCGCGUAGGUGGCUUGAUAAGCCGGUUGUGAAAGCCCCGGGCUCAACCUGGGAACGGCAUCCGGAACUGUCAAGCUAGAGUGCAGGAGAGGAAGGUAGAAUUCCCGGUGUAGCGGUGAAAUGCGUAGAGAUCGGGAGGAAUACCAGUGGCGAAGGCGGCCUUCUGGACUGACACUGACACUGAGGUGCGAAAGCGUGGGUAGCAAACAGGAUUAGAUACCCUAGUAGUC
rnacentral:rRNA from 1 species